AUGCAAAUUAUGUAUGUAAUUUUGGUUUGUAUUUUGUAAACAAAACUGCCACAAUCUUCAUGAUGCCUCCCUUAAAAAACUUUUUUUCUUUAAAAUCUUUUCCCAUUAAAUAGAGCUACCUGUUGUCUUCAAUACACUUUGAGAUGCAUAGUGCUAUUAUUGAUGGCAUUAUGAUGUAUGUUAUAUCUAAAUGAAUGUUGAUGGCAUUAGCAGUAAGUAACAGCAUGGACAGCAAAUGGUAUCUCUACAUUCAACCAUCCACUGUUGUGAAAAAAGGUUGUUGGAUGGGUGAUCUAAAAACAGGUUAAUUAUAACUCUAAUGUCUCCUUGUAAAUAGUGUUAUUAAUAUAUUAUUAUGGAUAUUUACUUUUGCAUGUUGAAUUAUGAUAAAUGGAAUCUUUUGAUGUGCAUGACAGUUGUAAGGAAGACUUUGUACAUCAUCACAUUUAUGAUUUAGUAGAAGACACAAAUUUGCUUGGUUCAGGGCAUGCUCAACUUCAUCCUUGCUUGUUUGAUUUUACUUCAUGGAGACCAGUUGUUUCCAUUUUUUCACAAUUGGCCAGCAAGUGGUCACAAUGUGCGCUAGUCAAGACACACUUCACCAGUAAGGUAAAGCUAGAGGUAAAAGUUUCCCCUGUGUUAGGCCUUGCUGGUGAAGUGAUGUUGCAAGAUCACAAAGAUAUGCAUUUUCUCUUGAUUGUUGCUACUUGAAAUUUAGUACUAGUGUCUGUAUAUGUAUAUGAUAUCUAUAUUAUGUAAAGAAUAAUAUUUUAUUAAGAAUUGCAAAUUGGUCAUUCAUGAUGAGCAGUGAUUACAUUCAUAAGCAGAUGUAAAUACCAUUGAUCUUAUCAUUAUUAUUUUCACUGUUUUUAUUUUGUUGAUGCAUGAAUUUAAAAAAACCUUAUUGUUUUGAAGCGAUGACUAGUGAAUAUUAAGAGAUAUUUUUGGAUCCCUCGUGUACUUGAUGUAUACACUGAUUUAUAUAUGGACAGGUGCGAUAUCACGGCACCUUGUGUUCUUUACAGGGACUUACUGUACUUGUAUGUUGACCAAACUUUACAUUGAAUCAUUUGAAAUAAACAAACAAGUGAUU
rnacentral:sRNA from 1 species